GCGGGAAAGUGGCUUCGGCCAUGAGUAGAGCGGCGCACGGGUGAGUAACACGUGGGUAAUCUGCCUUACUGAUUGGGAUAACCUGCCGAAAGGCGGGCUAAUACCGGAUACGUUCCCCGGGUUUGCGGACUUGGGGAAGAAAAGCAGCUCGCAAGGGUUGCGCAGUGAGAUGAGCCCGCGGCCCAUCAGGUAGUUGGUAAGGUAAUGGCUUACCAAGCCUAAGACGGGUAGCUGGUCUGAGAGGAUGAUCAGCCACACUGGAACUGAGACACGGUCCAGACUCCUACGGGAGGCAGCAGUGGGGAAUUUUGGUCAAUGGGCGAAAGCCUGAACCAGCAACGCCGCGUGGGUGAUGAAGGCCUUCGGGUUGUAAAGCCCUGUCGGGAGGGACGAAACCUGCGCGUAACGAACGCAGCCGACGGUACCUCCAAAGGAAGCACCGGCUAACUCUGUGCCAGCAGCCGCGGUAAUACAGAGGGUGCAAGCGUUGUUCGGAAUUACUGGGCGUAAAGCGCGUGUAGGCGGUCUGCCAAGUCCUGUGUGAAAGCCCUGGGCUCAACCCAGGAAGUGCGCAGGAUACUGGUGGACUGGAGUGAUGGAGAGGAUGGCGGAAUUCCCGGUGUAGAGGUGAAAUUCGUAGAUAUCGGGAGGAACACCUGUGGCGAAGGCGGCCAUCUGGACAUCGACUGACGCUGAGACGCGAAAGCAUGGGGAGCAAACAGGAUUAGAUACCCUGGUAGUCCAUGCCUUAAACGAUGGAUGCUAGAUGUCGCGGGUAUUGACCCCUGCGGUGUCGACGCUAACGCAUUAAGCAUCCCGCCUGGGGAGUACGGCCGCAAGGU
rnacentral:rRNA from 1 species